CCAGCUUCACACUUCGUUGUCUUGGAUUCUCCAGCCUCUGCAGUUCCCAUUAUCCCUGUACCCAAAAGCUGAUACCUGGUUGCAUUGUUCUACCAUUAGCCACACAAAGAAUCUCACUGCCUGCCUCACCUUUGAAAUGGAUCCAGUGACAUGAAGUUCUUGAAUUUGUGCGAUAGAUAAAAAAUUAUACUUGCUACAUUUCCGGCACAAUAUUAAAGAAAUGGUAUCAUUGCAGUUAUGGCAUUUAACUAGUAAUGCAGAAGAGUGUAUUAAUCCCAGCGAACCACUGUCUCAUCAGAGAGAGAUGACUGGUUGGUGGUUUAGCCUGAGGGUUUUCAUAACUCAGGCUUGGGUUGGGAUUGAGAAGGUGUGACCUUCACGGUAACCUCAGCUGGUGUGUGAAUUUAAACCACGCCAUAGGUUUCAUUCUGCAUUCUGCAUCACAAACUCUCUUUCCAGCCAACUGAGCUGACUGACCCCCCCAAAAUGAGCAAGAGCGCAUUCCCCCACUUCCACAAAUUUUGCAGUCAAGUAUUCUGCGUUUAUGGACAUUGAAGGCAUCAGCAAAGCCAAAGUGCAAAGGGAUAGCCUCAACCUAAGAGAACCACUUCAGCAUAAUGGUCUUUCCAUGAAACUGCCAAAAUUUAGUUGUGUCAGUAAGACUUAGUCACUUUAUGUGACUUCACAUCCCAGUUCUGUGGUAGAUUCUAAACUGCCCUCUGAAAUGACAAGCCACACAGUCAUUCUCAGGCUCUGUUUCAGAUCUUCAGAAAUGGAAUCAUCUACAAAAGUCUAUCCUAGUCUACUGCAAUUUAGUCACCUUGAUCAUGAAGCAUAUACCCUGGAGCCAGACAUCCUGAACUUCACCUCAAUAAAGUUCUUGUGGUGAAUGUAAUGCUGUCCUGUUUACUCAAAACCUAGUGUCAGAAAUGGCACUGAAAUAAAAAGCUUGGCUGCAGUGCUGUGGGCUGUCACUAAAAAACAGAAAUAAACCCACAAAAAAUCCCAAUUAAACCACUGCUUAAGAGAAAAUAAUUGCAGCUGUUCCCUCUUUUCAAAUCACUGGAAAUAUGAGCAAGCGGGUCUUCCAUGAACAAUGACAGAAUUAAGCAAUAGCUACAGAUUGUUGAGCAAAUCAGAACAUGUCACUAGACUUCUAUCACUGUUGGGAAGAAACCGUUUCAAAAUGAAUUUCAUCCCAAAUCUCUCUGGAGAGCAGCAAAAAAAUAAAAGUACAUGGCAGGAAUGUUUCAAGAUUGGAAAGUAUGUUUUAUAGCCAAGUGAGCAUUACAUAUGAACAGCACCUGUUAACUACUAGGGAACUAAGUGAAAAAGAGUCCAUUUAAUCACUGUGUAACAACAUUAACUCAGUUCAUAGAAAUAUGCCAACCUGUGCAUGUUAAAGAUGAACUAAUUCGAGACAGGAUUGUGUUAUUAAUAAGGGAUCUAAAAGUGCAUUCAUGCCUACUGAGCGAAGGCUAACUUAGACUCUGUAGAGCAAUUGAAUAUACAGAAGUGCCAAGGUCAUAAAUCUACAGCUACAGCAUAUUCACAGCACUAUAGAUCAGGUCUUGCUUUAUGCUGACAGAUAUUUAGCUAGUCAUAGAGCAGAACAAUCACAGAUUAAGCCAAAAUGCAGACGCUACAGAAAACAUCAAAAGAGAGGAAGAUAUGUACAAUGUGGGGAAAACUAAUGUCCUCAAUGAAAAGUGCUGGAUCAAAUUGUGUCGAUAGAAGGAAGCAUAACAAGCAAGCAAAGAUGGACAUUGAAGAAUAAUGGCUGAAGAUUGUGAUGAACCAGUAUCACCAUAUAAUGAGUUUGAUCAGUCAAGUUGGAGCAAUAACAUGCCUUCAUUGUCCAUGGUCAAGAGGACUGGUCCACAAGGCAUCCAUCCACCACCACUCAGGGAGACACCGUGGAUGCCUCAGAGGAAGUACUGCCUCUGUCCAGGUGCAAAUGCAACCUUGAAGAUUCUGAAACCAUCAAUCUUAUCCUGAGAUGAUGUUCCAUGGACCAAGGAGGACUCGGAGGCAAAGCAGCUGUAACAGGGCUCUGGCACUAGCCUAAAAAGGAUGAAUAUGUAUUUAACUGCAGCCUUGAGUUUUAAAUGAACUUCCUACAAAGUACUUUGUGAAGUGGAAUAAAUAAGCUCGUAAUUUUCUGUCUCUACCGAGACCUCAAAAAAAAAUUAUAUUGAAAUUGAACAUUAUUGAACAGUCUGUUUAUCCAAAGUUUGCCUUUGAUGCUCUGUUGUCCUUUUCUACCAGACUGGCUAAUUAUUUUUGGAAAUCAAGAUAAUAAUCCCAUCAUUCACAAAGAACAUAUCAAGUAAUGAAAGUAAUCGGUGACUUUGGGCAGUUUUCUGGACAAUCCGGAAUAUCGUCUACAUUCUAUACUUCUCAAUUUGUUGAAUAAUCCCAACUGGUCAAGCGUAAGCUUGCUCAACAUUGUUUCAGAAAUGGAAAUCAAACAGACUUAAACAGAGUUGAAGUAACAUAUUUCUUAAUUCACUGUUUUGAUUUUUUUUGUUUUAUCUUUCAAGAAUUGCUGUCAUGCGUUACAAUCUAUCCCUCAGUUUUGAAAACAAGAAAUAAAGUGAAAUGACAAU